GGCUUGAGUUUCAUUGCCUUGAGUUCCAGUCCUGACACAAUCAUUAACUAGCUGUGUGAUUGUGGGAGGAAAAUGGACUCUCUAAGCCUCAGUUUCUUUACCUAUGAAAUGGGAGUGGGAAUGGAGAAUAGGAGCUACUGCAAACAGUUGUUUUGAGGAUUCAUGUCAGACUAGAAAUACUUAAUUAUUAUCAUCAAAGUGAUUAAGGUAUAAAUUUCAGAGAUGGAAUUCAAACCUCAAGCUCAUCUCAUUUCACCAUAUUGCCCUUUAGAUGGUGUUCACAAAGGCCAACAUUUUUCAUGGCGAGAUGUCUAGAAUUUGAACUUUAGAAUGAUCCUUCUGGUCAAUUUAAAUCUGCUGUGAAGCAAGUUGCCCACCUACAGGGACAUGGAAUGGAAGGACAUGGAAGAUACAAAUAGAGUCGGACAAGAAAGACUUUACCUAACUCUGGAGGAAUCAGCUUUGAGGAGACCUACAAAGGUUUUACAGAUGUGAAAAUUAAGAAACAGAGAGAAGAGACUAUUCAAAGCAGUUGAACACUGGAUAAGAGCUGGAUUUGAGUUUGACAGCCCUGAGUUCCAAUCCUGGUUCCAUCACACACUCGCUAAAUGACCUUGGCAAAGUAGUUGACUCUCUGUGAAUCUCUCUUAAGGCCAUUCAGGCUAACUAAGAUUUAGUUACCUAAGUUUUAAAAAUUAACCAUGUAGGCUGAGAGUCUACGCAUUUGAAUAUUCAUUAAAUCAUGAUGGAGAUAUGAAUUGACCAAAUUCUUCUUUCUCUUCAACAAAUCUUUAUUAAAAAUGCAUCAUGGGUCAGGUAUUAUACUAGUUAAUGAAGAGACAAAGAUGAAAAAGACAUCUCAAGAAACAUUGAAAAAGUUUCCGUAAAUAUUAAUAUCAAACCAGUAAAAUAAUAUGUAGUGUGUCAGCUUGCUGUCAUUUAAGUUAAAUCUUGCAUGGACCUCAUAAUUCUCGAACUUCUCUUGAGUUCCUUCAUUUGGUGUUUGGUUUGGAAAGCAUUUGAAUACUAUUUCAAAACUACUAUUCUAAACAUGGCUUUGCUGAUAUAAUAGGAAACUGUAAACUUCCUUGAAGUAUGUUUAUUCCAACUUGCUAUUAUUUUAUGUAACACUCUUAAAGAACUUAAGGUGAAUCAGUAUCUCCCGGUGAAGAGCUCUGGCUUUAUACCAGACAAACUUAGGUUCUUAUUCUCACCUACUUACUGGUUGCAUGGCCUUGAAAAAGCUCCUUGAACUGUUUAUGCCUCAGUUCUCUCAUCUGUAAAUUAAGGAUAAUGAAAGCACCUAACUAAAGAGUUGUUAUGAGUUUACAUGGGAUUUGAGAUGUAAAGCAUUUAACUCAUAGAAGC
rnacentral:lncRNA from 1 species